GACGAACGCUGGCGGCGUGCCUAACACAUGCAAGUCGAGCGAAUGAAAUUCCUUCGGGAACGGAUUUAGCGGCGGACGGGUGAGUAACACGUGGGCAACCUGCCUCAUAGAGGGGAAUAGCCUUCCGAAAGGGAGAUUAAUACCGCAUAAGAUUGUAGUACCGCAUGGUACAGCAAUUAAAGGAGCAAUCCGCUAUGAGAUGGGCCCGCGGCGCAUUAGCUAGUUGGUGAGGUAACGGCUCACCAAGGCGACGAUGCGUAGCCGACCUGAGAGGGUGAUCGGCCACAUUGAGACUGAGACACGGCCCAGACUCCUACGGGAGGCAGCAGUGGGGAAUAUUGCACAAUGGGGGAAACCCUGAUGCAGCAACGCCGCGUGAGUGAUGACGGCCUUCGGAUUGUAAACCUCUGUCCUUGGUGAAGAGCAGAAGACGGUAGCCAAGGAGGAAGCCCCGGCUAACUACGUGCCAGCAGCCGCGGUAACAC
rnacentral:rRNA from 1 species